rnacentral:rRNA from 1 species
GACGAACGCUGGCGGCGUGCUUAACACAUGCAAGUCGAACGAUGAAGCACGAGCUUGCGGGGGUGGAUUAGUGGAGAACGGGGGAGUAACACGUGAGUAACCUGCCCCUCACCCUGGGAUAUGCCUGGGAAAGUGGGUCUAAUACUGGAUACGACCUAUCGCCGCAGGGAGUGCCGGCGGAAAGUUAUUGUGGUGGGGGAUGGACUCGCGGCCCAUCGGCUUGUUGGUGGGGUAUUGGCGUACCAGGCCGACGACGGGUAGCCGGCCUGAGAUGGCGACCGGACACGCUACACCUGAGCUGCGGCCCAGACUCGUAUGCUACGCAACGGUGGAGAAUAUUACACAAUGCGAGAGAGCCAGAUGUGACGAAGCCGCGUGAGGUAAGACGUGCUUCGGGUUGUGAACCACUGUCACCAUAGACGAGGCGAUCGUGACGGUACCUGGAGAAGAAGCACCGGCUAACUACGUG